rnacentral:rRNA from 1 species
AUUGAACGCUGGCGGCAUGCCUAACACAUGCAAGUCGAGCGAGAGGCGGACGGGUGAGUAAUGUCUGGGAAACUGCCUGAUGGAGGGGGAUAACUACUGGAAACGGUAGCUAAUACCGCAUACCAUCAGAUGUGCCCAGAUGGGUAUAGCUAGUAGGUGGGGUAACGGCUCACCUAGGCGACGACCCCUAGCUGGUCUGAGAGGAUGACCAGCCACACUGGAACUGAGACACGGUCCAGACUCCGACGGGAGGCAGCAGUGGCGAAUAUUGCACAAUGGACGAAAGCCUGAUGAAGCACAGCCGCGUGUGUGAAGAAGGCCUUCGGCUUGUAAAGCACUUUCAGCGGGGAGGCGUUACCCGCAGAAGAAGCACCGGCUAACUCCGUGCCAGCAGCCGCGGUAAUUC